CAGAAAAAGUAGCUAGCGUUUAUCUUCUUCUCGUUUACCUUCUAUUUUACUCAUGGUUGGUGAACUUUCCGGGAAUCAUAUGUAAAAAAAUGAAAAAGAAAAAGAAUAAAGAAAAGGAAAGAUGGGGUUUUGCUCUAAUAUAAAGGUUCACACCGUCCAUACCUAAAAAGUGAGAUAGACCUGAUAUAAUCAGAGUCAUGUGUUUUAAGAACUUUAUGGCGUUUUCAGUUCAUGAAUGGCUUAGAUUACUCUUCAUAUUAAGAAGGGACCACAAAGAGUGGAAAAAUAUUUUUGUGGGGCAGAAAAUCUGAUGCAUUACAAAAGAAUUGAUCCUUUUCUUGUAUAAGCAAGAAGUGAGAUCAGGAGUAUAAGUGAUCAUCAGGAAGAGAAAAUUAAACACAAUACUUAGAAUGAACAAGAAUGGAUACACCUAUUCAAAGUUCAGACAUCCUCAAAGCGGUGGUUUCCUGUUUAGAUUGGAAUCAACCUCUGCAGAAACAACCACUUCUUCAGAAAGGUAGAUUGGAAUCAAACUCCACAGAAACAACCACCACUUCACAAAGGAAGAGUCCAAAUUCAAACUAUUAUUCAAUGUACCGGAUCAUGAGUCAUACUGGGCGAAAAUUUUGAAAAGCUUUAAAGAAGGGACACAAAUGAAAUACAAUACAAGAAUUGAUUCUAAGUUUUACAGGAAAAAAAUGGCCCUAAGUUUUUAGGUAUCAAGCAACUCACUUGAUAACAAGACAUAAACCUUUUCCAGGCAAACCUCUAGGGACUUUAAUUACAUACGUAUUUGGAUGUCCAUCACUGUUGACACAGAAAAUUUAUUAGUUAGCUCUUUAGUUUUUAAAAAAUACAUUAAACA
rnacentral:lncRNA from 1 species